CGUCCCUCCGGAAGUGCUUUUUUUUUUAACGUCACAGGUCGUAGGCUUUAAGUGGGAAGAAGAAAGCUAACUCUGCUCAAAAGAAAAGGAAAAAGGCUGGAAGGUAAGCGUUUACAAGCCCUAGAAGCUCCGAACGAGGACAGAAAUUAGGCAGCCCAUAGGUGAGCUCUGCGCGGCCAGCUACCAGAGUCGUUCUCAGAUGUGCAGCUCUCCUCCUGCUUCUCCCUUUUCCUUCCAGUCUCACGCUAAGUUCUGUUGUGCAGGGCAAAAUCGGCACCUUUCCCUUGCGGUUCUUCGGAACCCGAGCUUCCAAGGCGCCAAACCCCAAGUUCCAGAAAGUACCUGCAACCAUUCGUUCUGAUUUCCCUGCUCCCGGCUCAGGCUGGGAUUUUGGACACCAGCUGAGCUCUCUGAUAAAAAGGCCUAGUUUCCGAUUUAGCUCCUACCUCCCAACGUCUUUUCCUCAGAACCUGCUGCUCUGUUCCAACAUAAGAUCCAGUGGAAAGAAAACGGAACCUGCCAGGACCUUAGCCUCCCUAUGUUUUAGUCCCUGCAUUUUAUUAGGCUGCCUGAUAAAAUCCCUCCCUGACUGCCAGAGUAAAACAGCAUUCUGAGACAAGAACAGGAUAUAUUUAAAAAAUUUUUUUAAAGUCUUUCUGUUAAGUCAGACAUAGAAUCUGUAAAUGAUUCGUUAAAGGCUGUCGAAACAUUGCUUUGAGGUUUUAAUCAAGUGCAAAGUGCAGUGACAAAUGCUAGUAAUUCACUUGUUAAUGUGUGCGAAUAGCGAUAGUGGGGGACGGGAGUAAAUGGGAACUCUGCUUAGUUUGGCUGUGAACCUAAAACUGCUCUGAAAAAUUCUUUAUUUUUUAAAGAUAAUGGUAAUAACAGGAAGUAUAAUCACCAUUAUUGAGCUCCUACUCUAUUCCAUUGGUAAAGCUAGCAUUUGAACCGUGCUGUGUCUGACUCCAAAGCUCAUAGUGAAUAAAAUGCAUUAAAACACUGCACCAGAUUAUCUGGCCAGAAUUUAGGCAUUUCAGAAAAUGCACUUGACAAGGCUGUUAGGAGACCUGAUUUGUCGUAUCAGCUCUCUACUGGCUCCUUGUUGACCCACACUUCCUUGAUUUGAGAAGGAGGAUGUCAGAUCAGAGCAAUGAUUCUCAAACUUAAAACUGCACACGAAUCACCUGGUGAUUUGGUGAAGAUAAAACAUCUGCUUCAGGAUGUCUAGGUGAGGUCUGAGAUUCUGCAUUUCUGACAAGCCCCCAGGUGAAGUCCCUGUUAAUCCAGGAGCCACACUUGGAAUAGCAGAGGGCAGGAUGAUCUCUGAGAUCCUUUCAAGUUUUAACACUCUCACAGUGGAUCGUUCUUUCCCCCCUCUAACCUUAGCACCUUUGCUCUUAAGGAAAUAUUGAAGGAUCAGUCAAAAAAAGAGAGUGACAGGGGCUUCCCUGGUGGCGCAGUGGUUGAGAGUCCGCCUGCCGAUGCAGGGGACAUGGGUUCGUGCCCCGGUCCGGGAAGAUCCCACAUGCCGCGGAGCAGCUGGGCCCGUGAGCCAUGGCCGCUGAGCCUGCGCACCCGGAGCCUGUGCUCCGCAAUGGGAGAGGCCACAACAGUGAGAGGCCCGCGUACCGCAAAAAAAAAAAAAAAAAAAGAGUUACAGAAGUAAAGAUUCCUAACUGAAGCCAAAAUAUGAAAAUAAAAUAUAACUUUAUAAUGUCUCUGGAAAGAUACCCAGGAAACCCAUAAGAGUAGCUGCCUUCAGGGAGGCAGACUUGAUGGCUCAAGGACAGGAAUGGCAGCACAUGUACUAAAAUUGGAAUGAUACAGAGAAGAUUACCAUGACCCCUGUGCAAGGAUGACACGCAAAUUCGUGAAGCGUUCCAUAUUUUUAGUCAUGUACCACAAUGUUCAUUGCAGCUCUAUUUACAAUAGCCAGGACAUGGAAGCAACCUAAGUGUCCAUGGACAGAUGAAUGGAUAAAGAAGAUGUAGCACACGUAUACAAUGGAAUAUUACUCAGCCAUGAAAAGGAACAAAAUUGAGUUAUUUGUAGUGAGGUGGAUGUACCUAGAGUCUGUCAUACAGAGUGAAGUAAGUCAGAAAGAGAAAAAUACCAUAUGCUAACACAUAUAUAUGGAAUCUAAAAAAAAAGGUCAUGAAGAACCUGGGGCAAGAUGGGAAUAAAGACACAGACCUACUAGAGAAUGGACUUGAGGACACUGGGAAGGGGAAGGGUAAGCUGGGACAAAGUGAGAGAGUGACAUGGACAUAUAUACACUACCAAACGUAAAAUAGAUAGCUAGUGGGAAGCAGUCGCAUAGCACAGGGAGAUCAGCUGGGUGCUUUGUGACCAGCUAGAAGGGUGGGAUAGGGAGGGUGGGAGGGAGGGAGAUGCAAGAGGGAAGAGAUGGAGAUAUAUGUAUAUGUAUAACUGAUUCACUUUGUUAUAAAGCAGAAACUAACACACCAUUGUAAAGCAAUUAUACUCCAAUAAAAACGUUAAAAAAAUAAUUCAUUUUUAAUUAUCACGGAAAAGUGGUUAAUAUGCCACUCGUUAGUGAGGCAGAAGUCACUGAGUUAUUAGUUUGGACCUACUAUUACUGUAACAGAUUUCUUUUAAACAGAAAGAAAUUAGUUUAACAGUCACUUGAUUAUGUUUGGGAAACAAGCACUUGAAUAUCUCCCUGACAUUUCAGCUUUCUUCCUCUCUUCUCAAAUAGAAUUGCAGUGGAGUAUAUUGGUAAUAUAGUCGUCAAAUCAGAUAUGAUGGUAGUUUUAGGAAAAUAGUGACUUAAGUGCAUGAAACUGGGCCAAAUAACUCAUGAGAUAACUUCUGGCAGUAAGAUCUGAGAUUAUCUGGUCCUAUGAGUUCUGAUUCCCAGAACCUAGACCAGUGAUCCUCUAGUCUGGCUACACAUUAAAAUCACUUGCUGGGGAAUUCCCUGGCAGUCCAGUGGUUAGAACUCUGGGCUUCCACUGCAAGGGGCCCAGGUUUGAUCCCACAAGCUGGUGGCCCAGCCAAAAAAAAAUCACUUGGUGCGUAUACGUAUAUACACACACACAUGUACAUACACAUAUAUGUAUAUACAUAUAUACACACAUACCAGUGCCAGGACCCUUCUGUAGGUCAAUUAAAAUGGAGUUUCUAGGGGCGGGGCAUGGAUUUUUUUUUUUUUUAAGCUAUGGCCAGUGAUUAUAAUGUGCAUCAAGGUAUAACCUAGACCAAGGAUAUUAAUCUGAUACUCAGGAAAUAUGAAUGGAAUAAAAACAAGAAACUUGGCCUUCCCUGGUGGCGCAGUGGUUAAGAAUCCGCCUGCCAAUGCAGGGGACACGAGUUCAAGCCCUGGUCCAGGAAGAUCCCACAUGCCACGGAGCAACUAAGCCCGUGUGCCACAACUACUGAGCCUGCGCUCUAGAGCCCAUGUGCCACAACUACUGAAGCCUGUGCAUCUAGAGCCCAUGCUCCACAACAAGAGAAGCCGCCACAAUGAGAAGACCGCACACUGCAACGAAGAGUUAGACCCAUCUCGCUGCAACUAGAGAAAGCCCGCCUGCAGCAACAAAGACCCAAUGCAGACAGAAAAAUUAUGAUAAUAAUAAAAUAAA